rnacentral:rRNA from 1 species
GGUUGACCUCGGAUCAGGUAGGAAUACCCGCUGAACUUAAGCAUAUCAAUAAGCGGAGGAAAAGAAACCAACAGGGAUUGCCCUAGUAACGGCGAGUGAAGCGGCAACAGCUCAAAUUUGAAAUCUGGCCCUUGUGGUCCGAGUUGUAAUUUGUAGAGGAUGCUUUUGGUGCGGUACCUUCCGAGUUCCCUGGAACGGGACGCCAUAGAGGGUGAGAGCCCCGUCUGGUUGGAUACCAAUCCUCUGUAAAGCUCCUUCGACGAGUCGAGUAGUUUGGGAAUGCUGCUCAAAAUGGGAGGUAUAUGUCUUCUAAAGCUAAAUAUUGGCCAGAGACCGAUAGCGCACAAGUAGAGUGAUCGAAAGAUGAAAAGCACUUUGAAAAGAGGGUUAAAUAGUACGUGAAAUUGUUGAAAGGGAAGCGUUUGUGACCAGACUUGGGCUUGGUUAAUCAUCCAGCGUUCUCGCUGGUGCACUUUGCCAGCCCAGGCCAGCAUCAGUUUGCUGCGGGGGAUAAAAGUUUCGGGAAUGUGGCUCCUCGGAGUGUUAUAGCCCGUUGCACAAUACCCUGUGGUGGACUGAGGUUCGCGCAUCUGCAAGGAUGCUGGCGUAAUGGUCAUCAACGACCCGUCUUGAAACACGGACCAAGGAGUCGUCUUCGUAUGCGAGUGUUCGGGUGUCAAACCCCUACGCGUAAUGAAAGUGAACGGAGGUGGGAGCCUCGGCGCACCAUCGACCGAUCCUGAUGUUUUCGGAUGGAUUUGAGUAAGAGCAUACGGGGCCGGACCCGAAAGAAGGUGAACUAUGCCUGUAUAGGGUGAAGCCAGAGGAAACUCUGGUGGAGGCUCGCAGCGGUUCUGACGUGCAAAUCGAUCGUCAAAUAUGGGCAUGGGGGCGAAAGACUAAUCGAAC